rnacentral:rRNA from 1 species
AGAGUUUGAUCAUGGCUCAGGAUGAACGCUGGCGGCGUGCCUAAUACAUGCAAGUCGAGCGAACCACUUCGGUGGUGAGCGGCGAACGGGUGAGUAACACGUAGGUGAUCUGCCCAUCAGACGGGGACAACGAUUGGAAACGAUCGCUAAUACCGGAUAGGACGAAAGUUUAAAGGUGCUUCUGGCACCGCUGAUGGAUGAGCCUGCGGCGCAUUAGCUAGUUGGUAGGGUAAAGGCCUACCAAGGCGACGAUGCGUAGCCGACCUGAGAGGGUGAACGGCCACACUGGGACUGAGACACGGCCCAGACUCCUACGGGAGGCAGCAGUAGGGAAUCUUCGGCAAUGGGCGAAAGCCUGACCGAGCAACGCCGCGUGAAUGAUGAAGGCCUUCGGGUUGUAAAAUUCUGUUAUAAGGGAAGAACGACUUUAGUAGGAAAUGGCUAGAGUGUGACGGUACCUUAUGAGAAAGCCACGGCUAACUACGUGCCAGCAGCCGCGGUAAUACGUAGGUGGCGAGCGUUAUCCGGAAUUAUUGGGCGUAAAGGGCGCGCAGGUGGUUGAUUAAGUCUGAUGUGAAAGCCCACGGCUUAACCGUGGAGGGUCAUUGGAAACUGGUCGACUUGAGUGCAGAAGAGGGAAGUGGAAUUCCAUGUGUAGCGGUGAAAUGCGUAGAGAUAUGGAGGAACACCAGUGGCGAAGGCGGCUUCCUGGUCUGUAACUGACACUGAGGCGCGAAAGCGUGGGGAGCAAACAGGAUUAGAUACCCUGGUAGUCCACGCCGUAAACGAUGAGUGCUAAGUGUUGGGGGUCGAACCUCAGUGCUGAAGUU